rnacentral:rRNA from 1 species
GGUGGUUUGUCACGUCGUCUGUGAAAUCCCGGGGCUUAACUUCGGGCGUGCAGGCGAUACGGGCAUAACUUGAGUGCUGUAGGGGAGACUGGAAUUCCUGGUGUAGCGGUGAAAUGCGCAGAUAUCAGGAGGAACACCAAUGGCGAAGGCAGGUCUCUGGGCAGUAACUGACGCUGAGGAGCGAAAGCAUGGGUAGCGAACAGGAUUAGAUACCCUGGUAGUCCAUGCCGUAAACGGUGGGCGCUAGGUGUAGGGGACUUCCACGUCUUCUGUGCCGCAGCUAACGCAUUAAGCGCCCCGCCUGGGGAGUACGGCCGCAAGGCUAAAACUCAAAGGAAUUGACGGGGGCCCGCACAAGCGGCGGAGCAUGUGGAUUAAUUCGAUGCAACGCGAAGAACCUUACCUGGGCUUGACAUACACCGGACCGGGCUAGAGAUAGUCCUUCCCUUGUGGCUGGUGUACAGGUGGUGCAUGGUUGUCGUCAGCUCGUGUCGUGAGAUGAUGGGUUAAGUCCCGCAACGAGCGCAACCCUUGUCUUAUGUUGCCAUCACGUGAUGGUGGGCACUCAUGAGAGACUGCCGGGGUUAACUCGGAGGAAGGUGGGGAUGACGUCAAAUCAUCAUGCCCCUUAUGUCCAGGGCUUCACACAUGCUACAAUGGUCGGUACAGCGAGUUGCCACACCGUAAGGUGGAGCUAAUCUCUUAAAGCCGGCCUCAGUUCGGAUUGGGGUCUGCAACUCGACCCCAUGAAGUCGGAGUCGCUAGUAAUCGC